CUUGACCUCAUUUUCAAGGUUCAUUGGUCAAUGUUUAGUUUUCUUGGUUAAGUUUAUGUGACAGUUUUAAAAAAGCUUUAUAUUUAGGACUAUCAACAUAAUAUCAAUGAUUUAAUCAUAAGUAAAGAAGGCGAGACAUUUCAGCAUGUGCACUCUUGUUGAAUAUGGGUAAACAUCAAUUAGAGCAUUCCACAGACAAAAGUAAAUCCUACAUCACCAGGUCAACAAUUGGAAAAGAAAAUUUUAAAAAUCAACCAUGUACCAAACACUGACUUUAGAAAAAAUAGCCUUUAGUAAGCUUGUAGACAAAUUAGUUACAAAUAUUUUGAUCUCUUAUUUGGGAAAAGUAUGAAAUUUUAAGGCUUUCAAAAUCAUUAAAGUAGUGUUCUAGUAACAAUUAAAUUAUCUUUAUAUAAAAUGAACCAC
rnacentral:lncRNA from 1 species